rnacentral:misc_RNA from 1 species
ACAACACUGGCGCAUGCGUUGUUCUGACUGCGGCAGUUCGUCGGGAAAGAAUUAACAUACAGCUGUCGUGAAGAUUACAUAACAUCAAGAUGGCCGACAUAUUUGUGGCGCUCACCCCAUUCACCAAAGACUGCGUCAUAUUUGGAAAAAACGCCAAUCAACCACCGACGGACGUACAACAAGUCAUCUACUGCGCAGGCGCAGAUUAUACAACCGGAAGUAAAGUCAAGGUUUAUAUUUCCAAGCAAAACUGAGAGGCAUUUUUUAUCAUCACCAUAGUCCAUAUUUAUUUAUUCCUAUGUUUUUAAUAUUUUUUUUUUGUUCUUUCGUUGAUAAAAGGAUAAAAUAAAGAGGAAAUUUUCGUCAGAUAUGUCCUUCUUAAUGAAAACAAGUUUAUCAUAAAUAUAUAUUUCGGUACAAUUAACAGAAUAAUUGACAUGAUAACGCUAUGAAUAUGUAGUAUUAUCUGUAUACAAUUACAAUAAUGAUAACACAUGUUUUACUACAUGAUUAAACAUAAUUAACAUGAGAUAUCACAUUAAAUGAUUUUCCAACAAAUCAAUUUUUAAGACGACAAUGUUAGAAAUAGACCAAGUCAGUAGAACCCACGCAUGCGUUCUCAGCCAGACGGCGGGGUCAUGGGGAGCGGAAAUGGGAGCCAACGACCAGGGAGUCUGCGCAGGAUAUACUUCCGUUUUCACUAAGUUAUCCAGCUUAGAAGGAAACAUGCUGACUCCAUCCGAUCUUACUAGACUGAUUCUAGAAAGAUCGGGUUCCGCUAAGUCCGCUGUUCUGACUGUGACGUCACUGAUAGAUCAGAAUGGGCAGGGAGGGAGGUUUGGAGUAGACAACCCCCGGCCUUACUGUGGCGUUUUCCUGAUCGCAGACAGAGACGAGGCGUGGGUGGUGGAGUGUGCCGGGAAGUCAUGGGUCGCCAAACAAAUCACAGAGGGCACAUGCACUAUUUCAAAUUCUCUCUCAAUAUCUACGGACUAUACCAUGACGUCAUCAAACCUCCAAGAACAAAGCGUGACGUCGGGACACUGGUCUUCAGAAAAGGGACCAGUAGAUUUUGCUGUCGCGUUUGGAGACGACCCCCCAACUGAGAUCGGUUGUACGAACCCCACAGAACGUCGCAGUACCGGAAGUGACCUGCUGAAGAAUAUCGCGAACCAAGGAUCGUUUUCCACCAAAGAUAUGUUUGAAAUUUUAAGAAAAAUGGCGAUCGAGGACAGUCGUCUGCUACAAACAACCGGAAGUCACGUGACUAUUCUGUCGUCUGCUGGUUUACCCGACAGGCAUUGGUUCACAGGUACUCCCUGUCCGAGUUUAUCCGUCUUCAAACCCUUCAUGUUUUCUGACAAUGUAGACAUUGGUGAUUACACCCGCUCUCUUUCCAAAGACGACAAGCGCCAUGUUCUCUACAAGUAUCACGAGAAAGCGCGAGAGUUAAUGGCUAGUGGGUCACCCAAGGGCGAGGCUCUGUCUCAACUUAUGAGGAGUUUGGAAGGAAAAUGUGUUGUUGAAAUGGAUGAAUUCUGUCAGCAGUUUUCUGUGGAAAAUAUUUCAGAUGUGGACGAACUUUUCAAGGAUAUUUGUGAAUCCGAGAUUAAGUUUUAUCUUUGAUUUGUUGAACGUUGCUUACAUAAUAAUUGGCGAAGAUGUGACAAACUAUGCUUACACAAUAAUUGACAAAGACCACACUUUUACCAAAAACUCACUGAAGACCCGCAGCUUAGAAGUAAAGCUAUAAACGCUUCAUGUAAAUUUAUCCAGGACAUAGCAAACAUUGCUUAUACAAACGCUUUGUAAAAUGGCCUUCAUACAUUUUCGAACUAAAGGAAUAAUAGGGUGCCUAUAAACGUAUUUUUGUUUGGCCUUAGUGUAUUCAAAGUAGCGAAACUGGAUGUGCAUUUUGCUCUCUGCUUUAUAAUUUCAGAAAAAAGACAAAGUUUAUAGCAGAAUGACAGAAAAUAAAGCUAUUGAUAAAACUGUC